rnacentral:rRNA from 1 species
GGCGGCGUGGAUUAGGCAUGCAAGUCGCGCGAGAAAUCUUGGAUUGAAGCUUCGGUUGAUUUCCGGGAUGGACAGCGGCGCAAGGGAGAGUAACGCGUAGUUACCUACCCCAGGGUCCGGGAUAGCCACGGGAAACUAUGGGUAAUACCGGAUGAUAUCUGGCUUUUGUAAAAGAGCUGGAUCAAAGGUGUGAUUCCGCCCUCGGAGGGGACUGCGUCCUACUAGCUUGUUGGUGGGGUAAUGGCCUACCAAGGCAUUGAUGGGUAGCGGGCGUGAGAGCGUGGCCCGUCUCACUGGGACUGAGACACUGCCCAGACACCUACGGGUGGCUGCAGUCGAGGAUCUUCGGCAAUGGGCGAAAGCCUGACCGAGCGACGCCGCGUGCGGGAUGAAGGCCUUCGGGUUGUAAACCGCUGUCAGUAGGGAGGAAAUCUACAGGGGUUCUCCCCUGUGGUUGACCUAUCUUCAGAGGAAGACCGGGCUAAGUUCGUGCCAGCAGCCGCGGUAAGACGAACCGGUCGAACGUUAUUCGGAAUCAUUGGGCUUAAAGGGUGCGUAGGCGGUGCGGAAAGUUGGGUGUGAAAGCCCUCGGCUCAACCGAGGAAUUGCGCCCAAUACUGCCGUGCUAGAGGGAGACAGAGGUGAGCGGAACUGAUGGUGGAGCGGUGAAAUGCGUUGAUAUUAUCAGGAACACCAGUAGCGAAAGCGGCUCACUGGGUCUCUUCUGACGCUGAGGCACGAAAGCUAGGGUAGCGAACAGGAUUAGAUACCCUGGUAGUCCUAGCUGUAAACGUUGAGCACUUGAUCGGGGAUCCCCCCAUAGGUUCCCGGUCGUAGCGAAAGUGUUAAGUGCUCCGCCUGGGGAGUAUGGUCGCAAGGCAA